GUCCAGAGGAGCCUAGUGGACAUGGCACCUGCUCGGUAAGCAGAAGGUUGUGGGUUCGAUUCCCGCCCCUGGACA